rnacentral:lncRNA from 1 species
UUCAUUUGAAAAUUUUCAAAAUUUAGUUUUUAGUCGCCAUUUAAAGCGUCAAGGUGUACGCGUUCGUUCUCGUAAUUUUCGUUUAAUUUACACGGGGAUUUUUUGUUUAAAAUACAUUAUUUUCGCGCUUAAUUUCUUUUAAAAACUUACCUGUUUUUUUUGUACGUGUAUUAUUUAAAACGAUUUGAUAAAUAUGAAAUGAUACAAAAGUCAUUUUGUCAACAUACAGUACGAGUCAAAAGUAAAACUACGUUGAAGACAACAACACUAUACAAAAGCAAAAAUAUACUUAAAAAUGUAAAAAAAGAGAGAGAAAAUAAUUUUAAAGUAAAAAACUCUCUAAAGAGAGCAAGUGUAAGAAACCGGGUUUAUUUUGAAGUUUCUAAACAAAAUCCAAUAAAAAUUGAAAAUUUACAAGUCUGAAAAAAGUUGAAAAUUUCUAAAUUUUUUUUUAAUAUUUACUUCUAGUGAUAAAAAAGUUCUUGAAAUAAAACUCUCAGAAUUCAUGUAGUUUUUGUCAAUAUUUAUUUGUUUUUAAAAGUUUUUAUUAAAAUUUUCUAAUAAUUUCAAUAUAAAAGUUUUAGUUGAUGUGAAUAAGAUGUUAUGUUUGCUAUUAUCUAAAUAGUAGUAAACACAACUAAAUAUUAAAAGCUUUACUACUAUAUACAAAGUAUUUUUGGGAGUUUUUAGCUGAAACAAAAUUAAGCUAAAGAAAGUUAAAGAAGGAAUUUGGAGAUUUUCAGUUUUCAUAAAACAUUUUCUUUCAGAAAAAGAGUAAUUUGUUUACAGUAAACAAAUUUGUUUUACAGUAACAAAUUUUGGUUUCCUAUAAGACAAUUGGAGAAAAGUGUUUUAAAACUUUAGAUUACAAAGAGAAAAGUGAUUGAAAAAGUAGGUUUAAUAAACUGAAUGAAUAGACUUUAACAUUAACUUUUAAACACUAAAAGCUUUUACAAGAAACUGGAGUUUAAAACAAAAAACAAAGAUUGGUUUUAAAGCUCACAGUUUGAGAUAAAAGUUUAAACUAGUUUUGAAAAAGUAAAGUUAUAAGAAAGACCGGUUUCUGAAUGAAAUUUGAUGAAGUCUCCAGAGCGAUAUAUAAAAGAUUUAGAGUUUAAGUUAAAAGUUAAAACUUUAGAAAUAUAUUUUAAAAAAAGGUUUAAAAACAGAGUUUAAACUAAGAGAAUAUAGAAAACAUGUAACUGAUUUCUUAAGGAGUGUUUAAGAAAAGCUUUAAAGCUUUUAAUAAAAGUUUAAAAAAUCGGUUGCUAAAGUGAAAGUUUAACAAGAGAGUUUAAACUAAAAGUCACUUAUAAAAAAAAGCUUUUUACUGAUUCAUGAUUCAAUAAAAGCUUGCGAAGCUUGUUUAAAAUCACUAACAGAAACUUUAAGAAAGCUUAAAGUUAAUAGUUUAUACUGUAGAUUAUUAAGAUAGGUGUUUAAAGAGAAUCGGGUUUUAACAUAAAAGUUUUAAAAGAGAGUGCUAUAAGGAAGCUUUUUACUGAAACUGGUUAAAAAAAAGCUUUUCAACAUGUUAUAAACUUAAUGGAGUCUCUGAUAUCAAAACAAAUUAAAGGCUUGUGAGCAUACAGAGAAAGUUUAAACUAAGAGUUUAAAAAAAAAAUUAAAGAGUACUUUACUAAAGUAAAGCACAAAAGAUCGGCUUCUAAGUAUAAAGUUGAAGAAAGAGAUACGGUUUUUAGGAAAACUUUAACUAUAUCAGUUUUUAAACAAAUUUACGAUUUGUGAGCUCAGAACGUUUAUGAAACGAAAAUUUAUAGAAAAUAGUUUUUGAAAAAGUUUCCAAACAAAAUGGAGUCUUAGAUAUAGAAAUAAAAGAUCGGUUUCCUAAUAUAAUAUUAAAGAAAAGGAGCCGGUUUUUGGGAAAAGUUUAACACGAUCACUUUUAACCGGAAUGAACGUCUAAAGUUAUAACUUGAAGUUUAAUUGAAAAAGUUCAAAACACCGGAAGGGAGAGAGAGGGAGAGAAGGGAGAGAGUGUAACCGAGAGUGUUUAGAGUUUAGCUGCUUGAUAAAACCGGUUUCUUAGUUAAAUUUUAAUUAAUUUUACUUAUUUUAGUUUAAUAAAUUUAAAAGAAACUUGAGUUGAGUUUGUAUUUUUUUCUAAAUUUAUUUUAAAAUAUAUUUUUUUCACUCUCUUUUAACUUAAAGAGAAUAUAUGUGAUCAUUCUCUUUUAACUUAAAAAGAAAGUAUAUUUUUGCUUUGUUCGCUGGCUGAUCUUCACUGCAAUUAAGGAGUUGCUGUUGUUUGUCGCAGAAUUGUUUGAAUUAACAGGUUUGCUUUAUAAAUUUAUUAAAGAAUUGCUAAAAAAAAAACUUAAAAUAAAAUAUUUAAAAAUCUUUACAGGUUAUGCAGAGAUCACAAAAACACCACUAAAGUAAAAGAGAGUUAUGACGAGAGAGCGAAGGAGGGAGUAAGAGAGAGAGAGAACAAACGAUCUUUAGUUUAUGUAAAUAUGCGUCAUCUUUAACAAACAAAUUGAUGGACAUUUGUCAAACACCUAGAGACCCUGACAGCAGCAUGUUAUUAAGAAAUCUGUUUUUGUAUUUUUUUUUUUUGUUUCUUGUUAUUUGUUUCGCUUCAAUUAAUUAAUCAAGACAAGAGGCGAUGAUCAUUAGAUUAAAAACAGAACAUUUUUAUUGCCACAUGACAAUCAUAAUGUGAAUCAUUUAAAAUGUUUAUGGUCAUUAUUUUUGCUUGCCAAAAAAAAAAGCAGACAACAUAUUGUUUGUUGCUUUCAAGCAACAAAAAAUUAAUUUGUAAUUUUAAUUUUUUUCAUGUAAGUAUAAUUUUUUCUCUAUUAAAUAAACAAAAAUCUAAAGAUUUCAAUAAAAAAUUGUUUUUCUUCAAAA